GGGGCCGUAGUUAAGUUGGUUAUAACGCUGGCCUGUCAAGCCAGAGGGCGCGGGUUCAAGUCCCGUCGGCCCCGCCA
rnacentral:tRNA from 1 species